GAGUAGAAAGGAGAGAAGGUUAGCACUCCCCUUGACAAGGAUGAAAAAGGUCCUAGAGGCCUUACAACACAUAUAUGGAUAAGGCAUUGCCACCUUCUGGCAUCUCUAACCAUGUUUAUUU
rnacentral:ncRNA from 1 species